rnacentral:rRNA from 1 species
UACAGAGGUCUCAAGCGUUGUUCGGAUUCAUUGGGCGUAAAGGGUGUGUAGGUGGCGCCGUAAGUCGGGGUGUGAAAUUUCGGAGCUUAACUCCGAAACUGCAUUCGAUACUGCGGUGCUUGAGGACUGGAGAGGAGACUGGAAUUCAUGGUGUAGCAGUGAAAUGCGUAGAGAUCAUGAGGAAGACCAGUGGCGAAAGGCGGGUCUCUGGACAGUUCCUGACACUGAGACACGAAGGCCAGGGGAGCAAACGGG